rnacentral:rRNA from 1 species
UUACCCACUCCCGGCACGGGGAGGUAGUGACGAAAAAUAACGAUACGGGACUCAUCCGAGGCCCCGUAAUCGGAAUGAGUACACUCUAAACCCUUUUANGAGGANNAAUUGGAGGGCAAGUCUGGUGCCAGCAGCCGCGGUAAUUCCAGCUCCAAUAGCGUAUAUUAAAGUUGUUGCGGUUAAAAAGCUCGUAGUCGAAUUUGUGUCUCGUGCCGCUGGUUCAUCGUCCGCGGUGUUAACCGGCGAGUCACGAGACGUCCUGCCGGUGGGCUUAGCUCGCGAGGGCGGCCCAACUCAAUCCUGCCGCGGUGCUCUUCAUUGAGUGUCGAGGUGGGCCGGCACGUUUACUUUGAACAAAUUAGAGUGCUUAAAGCAGGCUAAAACUUCGCCUGAAUACUGUGUGCAUGGAAUAAUGGAAUAGGACCUCGGUUCUAUUUUGUUGGUUUUCGGAACCCCGAGGUAAUGAUUAAUAGGAACGGAUGGGGGCAUUCGUAUUGCGACGUNAGAGGUGAAAUUCUUGGAUCGUAGCAAGACNGACAGAAGCGAAAGCAUUUGCCAAAAACGCUUUCAUUGAUCAAGAACGAAAGUNAGAGGUUCGANGGCGAUCAGAUACCGCCCUAGUUCUAACCAUAAACGAUGCCAGCUAGCGAUCCGUCGACGUUCCUCCGAUGACUCGACGGGCAGCUUCCGGGAAACCAAAGCUUUUGGGUUCCGGGGGAAGUAUGGUUGCAAAGCUGAAACUUAAAGGAAUUGACGGAAGGGCACCACCAGGAGUGGNGCCUGCGGCUUAAUUUGACUCAACACGGGAAACCUCACCAGGCCCGGACACCGGAAGGAUUGACAGAUUGAGAGCUCUUUCUUGAUUCGGUGGGUGGUGAUGCAUGGCCGUUCUUAGU